rnacentral:rRNA from 1 species
AUUGAACGCUGGCGGCAUGCCUUACACAUGCAAGUCGAACGGCAGCGCGGGGCAACCUGGCGGCGAGUGGCGAACGGGUGAGUAACAUAUCGGAACAUACCCUAGAGUGGGGGAUAACGUAGCGAAAGUUACGCUAAUACCGCAUACGCACUAAGGUGGAAAGUGGGGGAUCUUCGGACCUCAUGCUCAUGGAGUGGCCGAUAUCUGAUUAGCUAGUUGGUGAGGUAAAGGCUCACCAAGGCGACGAUCAGUAGCUGGUUUGAGAGAACGACCAGCCACACUGGAACUGAGACACGGUCCAGACUCCUACGGGAGGCAGCAGUGGGGAAUUUUGGACAAUGGGGGCAACCCUGAUCCAGCAAUGCCGCGUGAGUGAAGAAGGCCUCGG